CUCCGUAGGGGGCCCUCUUUCUCCGGCUUUCCUGGGUGUCCCUUUAGCGUCGUCGGCCCGCCAAGUCUGAUGUGAAAGCCCGGGGCUCAACCCCGGGACUGCAUUGGAAACUGUUUAGCUAGAGUGUCGGAGAGGUAAGUGGAAUUCCUAGUGUAGCGGUGAAAUGCGUAGAUAUUAGGAGGAACAUCAGUGGCGAAGGCGACUUACUGGACGAUAACUGACGCUGAGGCUCGAAAGCGUGGGGAGCAAACAGGAUUAGAUACCCUGGUAGUCCACGCUGUAAACGAUGAAUACUAGGUGUCGGGUGGCAAAGCCAUUCGGUGCCGCAGCUAACGCAAUAAGUAUUCCACCUGGGGAGUACGUUCGCAAGAAUGAA
rnacentral:rRNA from 1 species